CCUCCUUCUCAGCCUUUUGGCUAAGAUCAAGUGUAGUAUCACUAAACUUCUGAAGGCAUAGUUUGCAAAGUUCAUAUCAAUUUACUAGACUACGAUGAUGUCAUUUUAAUAUUGAUAUCUAUCUUUCCAUUAACAUUAUCAAUCUGAAUGAAGCUUCA
rnacentral:snRNA from 1 species